CCUAUUCUUGUCCGCAGCUGCGGACAAGAAUAGGACAUGUUCUAUCUUUUGCAGAGCUGUGGACCGCAAGUUCGGGGCCGAAACCCGGAAGUUCAGGGCCGCGCUCCGCAAAUGCGGAAGCGGAGAGCACAUAGUGUGCUCUUCGCUUCACCUCCGGGCCCAUAGAGAAUAAAUGGGUCCGCACCCGUUCCGCAAAAUUGCGGAACGGGUG